GGGAUAAUGAGGGACUCCGUCUUGGUGAUCUUCCCGCUGGGUGGGAGCUUCUCAACAAACACAUCUGGUGCGGGAAGUUCUGCUUCUUGGACCUCAGCUUGCUGGUUAGACUCAAAAGAGACAGUGUCAGAAAUACUGUCGUCUGUGUGUUUGGUUCCAAGACUCUUUGUCUUUUCAGGCACUUCUACCUGAGGACUUGAUGGCUCUCUCUGGCUCCUGAUGCUGUGGAUGCUACCAAUUUCUGUCUGAGAGCUGGAGUGUGACAGUCCUUCAAAAUAAGGUUUUAACUUUGGCUUCGGUGUGCUCAAAACACUGUCAUCAUCUUCCAUUUCUGGCCCACUGUCACUGGGGUUCUCUAUAUCCAAUGUGUCGUACAGAAGGUCCAAGUCUUCCUCCACCUCUGGAACGUGCUCUGCAGGGUCCUGCUC
rnacentral:lncRNA from 1 species